rnacentral:rRNA from 1 species
CGCCUGGGGAGUACGGGCGCAAGACUGAAACUCAACGGAAUUGACGGGGUCCCGCACAAGCGGUGGAGCAUGUGGUUUAAUUCGAAGCAACGCGAAGAACCCUAUCAAAUCUUGACAUUCUUUGACCGCUCUAGAGAUAGAGUUUUCCUCUUCGGAGGACAAAGUUACAGGUGGUGCAUGGCUGUCGUCAGCCCGUGUCGUGAGAUGAUGGGGUAAGUCCCGCAACGAGCGCAACCCGUGUACUUAGCUG